GCUAUCCACAAGGCUUACUAUAGAAAUUGAUAUGAUGUUGACCAAGUACAUAUUGAUGCUUAUGGCAUAUUUGAAUAGUAUUGCUUUGUUGUGCUAUCCACAAAGAUAGCAUUGUUUUAAGUAUGACCAUAUGGGAUUGAAAGGUUAACUUAACUAGAACACUAUAGUUUGUUGUGCUAUCCAUAAGACUAUAUGUGAUCUAGAGGCA
rnacentral:lncRNA from 1 species